GUAGUCUCGCACAGAUGCAUAUCAAUAAGCGGAGGAAAAGAAACUAACAAGGAUUCCCUUAGUAACGGCGAGUGAAGCGGGAAGAGCUCAAAUUUGAAAUCUUAAAGGUUUUCCCUUGACGAAUUGUAGUUUAAAGAAGUGUUUUCUGUUGAAGUUUUGGUAAAAGUUCUUUGGAAUAGGACAUCAUAGAGGGUGAGAAUCCCGUAUUUGACCAUUAUUUUCAGCUGUGUGAUACACUUUCAAAGAGUCGGAUUGUUUGGGAAUGCAGUCCAAAAUGGGUGGUAAAUUUCAUCUAAAGCUAAAUAUUGGCGAGAGACCGAUAGCGAACAAGUACCGUGAGGGAAAGGAUGAAAAGAACUUUGAAAAGAGAGUUAAACAGUACGUGAAAUUGUCAAAAGGGAAGCGUUUGACACCAGUGUUGUUUUCUCGAAAAUCAAUUAAAAAGAGUUUAGAUUUUGUUGUGUAUUGACCUUAACAGCUUGCAUUUCAAUUUUCUUGCUUUUUUUAAUGCACUUUUCGUUUAACAAGUCAACAUCAGUUUCUUUUGUUGUAAAAAGGUCAUUGGAAGGUGGCUUUCUUUUCGGAGAAAGUGUUUAUAGCCUUUGACUCCUGCAAUCGGAGAGACUGAGGUCUGCAGCGUAGAUCCUUCGGGGUUAGAUACAUUUGUGCUAAGUUAUAGCUUUUUAUAGACAACUUGUUGACUAUGAUUAGUCUUGUAGCUUACUCGCUUAUGCUAUUUUACCUACGCUUAGGAUGUUGAGCGCAUGUCUCUCUCU
rnacentral:rRNA from 1 species